AGAUUGAACGCUGGCGGCAUGCUUUACACAUGCAAGUCGAACGGCAGCACGGGGGCAACCCUGGUGGCGAGUGGCGAACGGGUGAGUAAUAUAUCGGAACGUACCCGGAAAUGGGGGAUAACGUAGCGAAAGUUACGCUAAUACCGCAUAUGCCCUGAGGGGGAAAGCGGGGGAUUCGUAAGAACCUCGCGUUUUCGGAGCGGCCGAUAUCGGAUUAGCUAGUAGGUGAGGUAAAGGCUCACCUAGGCGACGAUCCGUAGCUGGUCUGAGAGGACGACCAGCCACACUGGAACUGAGACACGGUCCAGACUCCUACGGGAGGCAGCAGUGGGGAAUUUUGGACAAUGGGCGCAAGCCUGAUCCAGCCAUGCCGCGUGAGUGAAGAAGGCCUCGGUUGUAAAG
rnacentral:rRNA from 1 species